GUCACUUUGGCCGAGUGGUUAAGGCGGUGCCCUGCGUAUGUACUCACCCGUUCUUCCGACAGUCCAUCACCACUAACAGCCUCCCAGUAAGGCAUUACGUUCGCGUGCGUAGGUUCGAAUCCUGCAGGUGACG
rnacentral:tRNA from 1 species